rnacentral:rRNA from 1 species
GACGAACGCUGGCGGCGCGCCUAACACAUGCAAGUCGAACGGAGCGUACUGACAGAAGCCCUUCGGGGUGGAAGAUGGUAUUGCUUAGUGGCGAACGGGUGAGUAACACGUGAGCAACCUGCCCUAAAGUGGGGGACAACAUUUGGAAACGAAUGCUAAUACCGCAUAAGACCACGGUACCACAUGGUACAGCGGCCAAAGGAUUUAUUCGCUUUAGGAUGGGCUCGCGUCUGAUUAGCUAGUUGGUGGGGUAAUGGCCUACCAAGGCGACGAUCAGUAGCCGGACUGAGAGGUCGAUCGGCCACAUUGGGACUGAGAUACGGCCCAGACUCCUACGGGAGGCAGCAGUGGGGAAUAUUGGGCAAUGGGCGAAAGCCUGACCCAGCGACGCCGCGUGAGGGAAGAAGGUUUUCGGAUUGUAAACCUCUGUCUUCGGGGAAGAUAAUGACGGUACCCGAGGAGGAAGCCACGGCUAACUACGUGCCAGCCGCCGCCGUAAUAC